CAGCAAGCUGAUAGCUGUGCAGUUUCAUAAGCAGACAUGAAAAUAUCUCACCAAAGAGGAUGGUUGGUUUAUGAUGUGUUGUGAUAGCUGGGUUUAAGAAGUGCAAUACUAAAACAAAAACAUGAGUCUUCUAAGCCUAGUGUGUAAAGCUAUACUAUGAAUUAUAACUCAAAGGCACAACU
ensembl:scaRNA